rnacentral:rRNA from 1 species
AUUGAACGCUGGCGGCAUGCCUUACACAUGCAAGUCGAACGGCAGCGGGGACUUCGGUCCGCCGGCGAGUGGCGAACGGGUGAGUAACGUAUCGGAACGUACCUUUCAGUGGGGGAUAACGUAGCGAAAGUUACGCUAAUACCGCAUAUUCUGUGAGCAGGAAAGCAGGGGAUCGCAAGACCUUGCGCUGAUUGAGCGGCCGAUAUCCGAUUAGCUAGUUGGGGAGGUAAAGGCUCACCAAGGCGACGAUCUGUAGCGGGUCUGAGAGGAUGUCCCGCCACACUGGAACUGAGACACGGUCCAGACUCCUACGGGAGGCAGCAGUGGGGAAUUUUGGACAAUGGGGCAACCCUGAUCCAGCCAUGCCGCGUGAGUGAAGAAGGCCUUCGGGUUGUAAAGCUCUUUCGGCCGGGAAGAAAUCGUAUGGGUUAAUACCCUGUGCGGAUGACGGUACCGGCAUAAGAAGCACCGGCUAACUACGUGCCAGCCGCCGCCGUAAUAC